AUUGAACGCUGGCGGCAGGCCUAACACAUGCAAGUCGAGCGGAUGAAGGGAGCUUGCUCCUGGAUUCAGCGGCGGACGGGUGAGUAAUGCCUAGGAAUCUGCCUGGUAGUGGGGGAUAACGUCCGGAAACGGGCGCUAAUACGCCAACCGUCCGGGGGGGGAAGGGGGGGAUCCUUGGACCCCCAGCCAAUAGAUGAGCCUAGGUCGGAUUAGCUAGUUGGUGGGGUAAAGGCCUACCAAGGCGACGAUCCGUAACUGGUCUGAGAGGAUGAUCAGUCACACUGGAACUGAGACACGGUCCAGACUCCUACGGGAGGCAGCAGUGGGGAAUAUUGGACAAUGGGCGAAAGCCUGAUCCAGCCAUGCCGCGUGUGUGAAGAAGGUCUUCGGAUUGUAAAGCACUUUAAGUUGGGAGGAAGGGCAGUAAGUUAAUACCUUGCUGUUUUGACGUUACCAACAGAAUAAGCACCGGCUAACUUCGUG
rnacentral:rRNA from 1 species